AUUGAACGCUGGCGGCAGGCCUAACACAUGCAAGUCGAGCGGAUGAAGGGAGCUUGCUCCUGGAUUCAGCGGCGGACGGGUGAGUAAUGCCUAGGAAUCUGCCUGGUAGUGGGGGAUAACGUCCGGAAACGGGCGCUAAUACCGCAUACGUCCUGAGGGAGAAAGUGGGGGAUCUUCGGACCUCACGCUAUCAGAUGAGCCUAGGUCGGAUUAGAUAGUUGGUGGGGUAAAGGCCUACCAAGGCGACGAUCCGUAACUGGUCUGAGAGGAUGAUCAGUCACACUGGAACUGAGACACAGUCCAGACUCCUACGGGAGGCAGCAGUGGGGAAUAUUGGACAAUGGGCGAAAGCCUGAUCCAGCCAUGCCGCGUGUGUGAAGAAGGUCUUCGGAUUGUAAAGCACUUUAAGUUGGGAGGAAGGGCAGUAAGUUAAUACCUUGCUGUUUUGACGUUACCAACAGAAUAAGCACCGGCUAACUUCGUG
rnacentral:rRNA from 1 species